rfam:Ixodes scapularis strain Wikel colony gcontig_1108379846990, whole genome shotgun sequence.
UUCUGGUUAUCUCAGUUGGUAGAGAGCUCCACUUUAAAUGGAGAGAAAGGGGUUCCUGGUUCGAUACUAGGACAAGGCG